rnacentral:lncRNA from 1 species
AUGCAUGCUCCCCGAUGUUCACUUGCCGCCUGGUUUCAAGGUUCCCAAAUUUGAAAAGUACAAUGGACAUGGAGACCCCAUAGCCCACCUGAAAAGGUAUUGCAACCAAUUGAGAGGGUUCCCAAAUUUGAAAAGUACAAUGGACAUGGAGACCCCAUAGCCCACCUGAAAAGGUAUUGCAACAAAUUGAGAGGUGUGUGAGAAAAUGAACAAUUGCUUAUAGCUUAUUUUGGGGAAAGCCUCUCAGGAAUAGCAUCUGAAUGGUUUUUGGAUCAAGACA